ACCAUAACCUUACCCACCAAUUUACUAGCAACUAACAAAAGACUUUGAAAAAACUAGGAAUCCUAACAAUGUGUUACUCUGCCUUCUAAAUAGGAACUUCUAAUCACUUUUCAAUCAAUAUUCAACACUUUCGUCAGAGUUCUUUUCAUGUGGUGGUGAAAUAGUUCAUUUCAAUUCGUCGUCUCAAGUUCGCGACCCAUAACCAGUGAUAUACUCAUUUAAAUAGUGAGCUUGUUUGAGGAAUGACACAUUGAUCCAGCAAGCUGUGACAUUUUGCAUUAGGGAACAAACACCGGCUUAAUUGCCUUUUUUUCUUCAUUGUUGAACGCAUUUUUUGUAUUUUGAUAAUUCAUAUUUUCUUUUACCGCUAUAAGAUAAGAAUUUGAAUGUAUUUAGAUUUUUUGUUCUUAUUUUAAGUGAAUGACAUUGUUUUGAGUUUGGUAA